rnacentral:rRNA from 1 species
AGCGUAGGCGGCGUGGUAAGUCAGAUGUGAAAUCCCGGGGGCUCAACCCCGGAACUGCAUCCGAUACUGCCGUGCUAGAGGAUUGGAGAGGUAGCUGGAAUUCACGGUGUAGCAGUGAAAUGCGUAGAUAUCGUGAGGAACACUCGUGGCGAAAGCGAGCUACUGGACAACUCCUGACGCUGAGGCUCGAAGGCCAGGGUAGCGAAAG